UACGAAGGGAGCUAGCGUUACUCGGAAUCAUUGGGCGUAAAGCGUGCGUAGGCGGCUUUAUAAGUCGGAAGUGAAAGCCUGGGGCUCAACCCCAGAAUUGCUUUCGAUACUGUAGAGCUAGAAUACCAGAGGGGAUGGCGGAAUUCCUAGUGUAGAGGUGAAAUUCGUAGAUAUUAGGAGGAACACCGGUGGCGAAGGCGGCCAUCUGGCUGGUUAUUGACGCUGUUGCACGAAAGCGUGGGGAGCAAAC
rnacentral:rRNA from 1 species